rnacentral:rRNA from 1 species
CCAGACUCCUACGGGAGGCAGCAGUGGGGGAUAUUGCACAAUGGGGGGAACCCUGAUGCAGCGACGCCGCGUGGGUGAAGGAGCGUUUCGGCGCGUAAAGCCCUAUCGGCAGGGAAGAAGAUGACGGUACCUGACCAAGAAGCUCCGGCUAAAUACGUGCCAGCAGCCGCGGUAAUACGUAUGGAGCAAGCGUUAUCCGGAUUUACUGGGUGUAAAGGGAGCGCAGGCGGCCUUGCAAGUCUGAUGUGAAAGGCCGGGGCCCAACCCCGGGACUGCUCUGGAAACUGUAAAGCUGGAGUGCGGGAGGGGCAGGCGGAAUUCCUGGUGUAGCGGUGAAAUGCGUAGAUAUCAGGAGGAACACCGGCGGCGAAGGCGGCCUGCUGGACCGUAACUGACGUUGAGGCUCGAAAGCGUGGGGAGCAAACAGGAUUAGAUACCCUCGUA